rnacentral:rRNA from 1 species
AAUAGAUACCCGGGUAGUCCACGCCCUAAACGAUGUCAACUAGUUGUUGGGGAUUCAUUUCCUUAGUAACGUAGCUAACGCGUGAAGUUGACCGCCUGGGGAGUACGGUCGCAAGAUUAAAACUCAAAGGAAUUGACGGGGACCCGCACAAGCGGUGGAUGAUGUGGAUUAAUUCGAUGCAACGCGAAAAACCUUACCUACCCUUGACAUGGCAGGAACCCGGGAGAGAUCUCGGGGUGCUCGAAAGAGAACCUGCACACAGGUGCUGCAUGGCUGUCGUCAGCUCGUGUCGUGAGAUGUUGGGUUAAGUCCCGCAACGAGCGCAACCCUUGUCAUUAGUUGCUACGAAAGGGCACUCUAAUGAGACUGCCGGUGACAAACCGGAGGAAGGUGGGGAUGACGUCAAGUCCUCAUGGCCCUUAUGGGUAGGGCUUCACACGUCAUACAAUGGUACAUACAGAGGGCCGCCAACCCGCGAGGGGGAGCUAAUCCCAGAAAGUGUAUCGUAGUCCGGAUUGCAGUCUGCAACUCGA